GAUCAUGGCUCAGAUUGGACGCUGGCGGCAGGCUUAACACAUGCAAGUCGAACGGUAACAUGAAGAAGCUUGCUUCUUUGAUGACGAGUGGCGGACGGGUGAGUAAUGCUUGGGAAUCUAGCUUAUGGAGGGGGAUAACUACGGGAAACUGUAGCUAAUACCGCGUAGUAUCGGAAGAUGAAAGUGUGGGACCUUCGGGCCACAUGCCAUAGGAUGAGCCCAAGUGGGAUUAGGUAGUUGG
rnacentral:rRNA from 1 species